rnacentral:sRNA from 1 species
GGAACAGCUCUGGCGCCUGGAGUCCUCUAUUAUCCAGGGAAAAGCUCAUCGGGGCAGCAGCAGUGCAAGCUUCCCUGACUAGCACACUUCAACCCCAGCCCUUCAGGGAAAGAGGCUAGUUCAGUUUCUCUGGCCCAUUCAGCCCUUGCUCUC